rnacentral:rRNA from 1 species
UACGAAGGGGGCUAGCGUUGCUCGGAAUUACUGGGCGUAAAGCGCACGUAGGCGGCUUCUUAAGUCGGUGGUGAAAUCCUGGAGCUCAACUCCAGAACUGCCUUCGAUACUGGGAAGCUCGAGUCCGGGAGAGGUGAGUGGAACUGCGAGUGUAGAGGUGAAAUUCGUAGAUAUUAGGAAGAACACCGGUGGCGAAGGCGGGUCUCUGGGCCGAUACUGACGCUGAGGAGCGAAAGCGUGGGGAGCGAACAGG